GCCUGGGUGGCGGAACUGGUAGACGCAAGGGACUUAAAAUCCCUCGACCCCUGUGGUUGUGCGAGUUCAAUUCUCGCCCCAGGUACCA
rnacentral:tRNA from 1 species